AGAAUCAACGCUGGCGGCGUGCCUAACACAUGCAAGUCGAACGAGAAAGUGGAGCAAUCCAUUAGUAAAGUGGCGCACGGGUGAGUAACACGUGACUAACCUACCUUUUAGUGGGGGAUAACCUAGGGAAACCUGGGCUAAUACCGCAUAAUACCUACGGGUCAAAGCAGCAAUGCGCUGAAAGAGGGGGUCGCGGUCGAUUAGUUAGUUGGCAGGGUAAUGGCCUACCAAGACUGUGAUCGAUA
rnacentral:rRNA from 1 species